CACUUUUGUUCCGGAAAGAAACCUUUAGCACUAAUACUGUGAGGAGAUGACGGUACCGGAAGAAUAACGCACCGGCUAACUACGUGC
rnacentral:rRNA from 1 species